GGACAGUGUCGGACUAGGCUGGAUCAUUAAAUAGGGGAUUGAAAAUCCCCGUGUAGGGGGUUCGAUUCCCUCCCUGGCCACCA
rnacentral:tRNA from 1 species